UCCCUGGUGGUCUAGUGGUUAGGAUUUGACAUUCUCACUGCCAUGGCCCAGGUUCGAUUCCUGGUCAGGGAA